rnacentral:rRNA from 1 species
UAUUGCACAAUGGGGGAAACCCUGAUGCAGUGACGCCGCGUGAGUGAAGAAGUAUUUCGGUAUGUAAAGCUCUAUCAGUAGGGAAGAUAAUGACGGUACCUGACUAAGAAGCCCCGGCUAACUACGUGCCAGCAGCCGCGGUAAUACGUAGGGGGCGAGCGUUAUCCGGACUUACUGGGUGUAAAGGGAGCGUAGGUGGCAGGGCAAGUCAGAUGUGAAAACCCGGGGCUCAACCCCGGGAUUGCAUUUGAAACUGUCCGGCUGGAGUGCAGGAGAGGUAAGUGGAAUUCCUAGUGUAGCGGUGAAAUGCAUAGAUAUUAGGAGGAACACCAGUGGCGAAGGCGGCUCACUGGACUGUAACUGACACUGAGGCUCGAAAGCGUGGGGAGCAAACAGG